GAUGAACGCGGGCGGCGUGCCUAAUACAUGCAAUUCGAGCGAACGGACGAGAAGCUUGCUUCUCUGAUGUUAGCGGCGGACGGGUGAGUAACACGUGGAUAACCUACCUAUAAGACUGUGAUAACUUCGGGAAACCGGAGCUAAUACCGGAUAAUAUUUUGAACCGCAUGGUUCAAGAGUGAAAGACGGUCUUGCUGUCACUUAUAGAUGGAUCCGCGCUGCAUUAGCUAGUUGGUAAGGUAACGGCUUACCAAGGCAACGAUGCAUAGCCGACCUGAGAGGGUGAUAGGCCACACUGGAACUGAGACACGGUCCAGACUCCUACGGGAGGCAGCAGUAGGGAAUCUUACGCAAUGGGCGAAAGCCUGACGGAGCAACGCCGCGUGAGUGAUGAAGGUCUUCGGAUCGUAAAACUCUGUUAUUAGGGAAGAACAUAUGUGUAAGUAACUGUGCACAUCUUGACGGUAACUAAUCAGAAAGCAACGGCUAACUACGUG
rnacentral:rRNA from 1 species